rnacentral:lncRNA from 1 species
UCUUUUUCUUUUUUAAACUUUACUUUUUAUGUGUAUGUGUGCUUUAAUGUGUUAUAUUUGUGCACAAAGUGGUUCACGUGGGGCAUCCGUGUACUUCAGCUUGCUUCAACAGUUGCCGUGGUGACAUGGGAGAAGUGCUUUGUUACUGUAGGAUUAUCCCGUGGUUUCGUUUUGUUUUUCUUUCAGUGCCAUUGAAGGAGAAGAAGCUCAUGGAGGUUAAACUUAGAGAGCUGCCAAGCUGGAUAUUGAUGCGGGAUUUCACCCCCAGUGGUAUUGCAGGAGCCUUUCGGAGAGGUCAGUGUCUCAUGGGCAAGAAGCUGAAAGCCUGUCUUAAUCUGUCUGAGAUUUGAUGGUCUUCUGAAGAGGUCCAUGAUGGUGGUUCAUUCCUCAAGUUUUGUAUUUGCCUAUCAAAAGCUGACCAUGUGGGCAAGGGAAAUGGCUCAGCUGGUAAUGUGGACUUAUGUUUGGGUUUCCAGUGCCCAUGUAAAAAGCAGUGUGGGCUUGUAGUCCUAACGCUGAGAGGCAGACAUAGGAGGAUCCCAGGAGCUCCCUGGGUGCUGUUUAAUUUGUCAGCUCCAAGUCUGGUGAGCAGCUUUGUGUCUCAGAACCUGGUGGAGAGAUGGGAAGCUUCUGAUGUUGACCUCUGGCCUCCACACACUUUGCUCUCACAGCUGUGAAUGUGAUAGUGCUCAUACCAUGGGCAGGCAUGCAUGAAAACAGCAAAGGUGAGCUCUGAGACCUUUUGGCUUAGGAAAUGUUUUGCAGUGUUUUGAGGUUAUAAGGCUCAAGCUGGCCUUGCAUUUCCUUCAGCCUGCCUCAGCCUCCCAAGUAACGGUGCCACCAUGCCCAACUCAAAGAAACUCCACUGCUGUGGACCAGUGCUUCUGUUUUAGAGGAAACAGAAAACCAGGGCUGGUUCCACACAGCUGUACUAGGAAGCUGGAAGCUCGGAGGUCUGGAAGUCAGGGUCACCUUCAGCUGUUACCACAUUUGUUGGCCUGGGAUACCCAAGACUCUUGUCUUAAAAAA